GAGGGUAUAGCUCAGGGGUAGUGCCCAUGCUUAGCAUGCAUAAGGUCCUGGGUUCGAUUCCCCAGUAUCGCCG
rnacentral:tRNA from 1 species